AUGAACGCUGGCGGCGUGCCUAAUACAUGCAAGUCGAGCGAACAGACGAGGAGCUUGCUCCUCUGACGUUAGCGGCGGACGGGUGAGUAACACGUGGAUAACCUACCUAUAAGACUGGGAUAACUUCGGGAAACCGGAGCUAAUACCGGAUAAUAUAUUGAACCGCAUGGUUCAAUAGUGAAAGACGGUUUUGCUGUCACUUAUAGAUGGAUCCGCGCCGCAUUAGCUAGUUGGUAAGGUAACGGCUUACCAAGGCGACGAUGCGUAGCAGACCUGAGAGGGUGAUCGGCCACACUGGAACUGAGACACGGUCCAGACUCCUACGGGAGGCAGCAGUAGGGAAUCUUCCGCAAUGGGCGAAAGCCUGACGGAGCAACGCCGCGUGAGUGAUGAAGGUCUUCGGAUCGUAAAACUCUGUUAUUAGGGAAGAACAAAUGUGUAAGUAACUAUGCACGUCUUGACGGUACCUAAUCAGAAAGCCACGGCUAACUACGUG
rnacentral:rRNA from 1 species